rnacentral:rRNA from 1 species
AGAGUUUGAUUAUGGCUCAGGAUGAACGCUAGCUACAGGCUUAACACAUGCAAGUCGAGGGGCAGCAUGGUCUUAGCUUGCUAAGGCCGAUGGCGACCGGCGCACGGGUGAGUAACGCGUAUCCAACCUGCCUUACACUCUUGGACAGCCUUCUGAAAGGGAGAUUAAUACAAGAUGUUAUCAUGAGUAAGCAUUUUCGCAUGAUUAAAGGUUUACCGGUGUAAGAUGGGGAUGCGUUCCAUUAGAUAGUAGGCGGGGUAACGGCCCACCUAGUCUUCGAUGGAUAGGGGUUCUGAGAGGAAGGUCCCCCACAUUGGAACUGAGACACGGUCCAA